rnacentral:tRNA from 1 species
CCCGCGGUAGCUCAGCCUGGUAGAGCUUCCGGCUGUAGACCGGAUUGUCCCAGGUUCAAAUCCUGGCCGCGGGA